rnacentral:rRNA from 1 species
GACGAACGCUGGCGGCGUGCUUAACACAUGCAAGUCGAACGAAGUGGCGAACGGGUGAGUAAUACGUGGGUAACCUGCCCUCCUUUUUGGGAUAAGCCUUUGGAACGGGGUCUAAUACCGAAUAAAGGGGGAUGGGCUCGCGGCCUAGCAGCUUGGUGGUGGGGUGAUGGCCUACCAAGGCGGUGACGGGUAGCCGGCCUGAGAGGGGGAUCGGCCACAGUGGGACUGAGAUACGGCCCAGACUCCUACGGGAGGCAUAAGUGGGGGAUAUGGCACAAUGGUCGAAAGCCGGAGGCAGCGAUGCCGCGUGGGGGAUGAAGGCGUUCGGGUUGUAAACCUCUUGCGCUCUCGAACGGGUAGGUGGAGAAGAAGCGCCGGCUAACUACGUGCCAGCAGCCGCGGUAAUAC